rnacentral:rRNA from 1 species
GCUUCGGCCGAUUUCUAAGAUGGACAGCGGCGAAAGGGAGAGUAAUGAGUGGAUUACCUACCCCCAGGACCGGGAUAGCUGUGGGAAACCGCAGGUAAUACCGGAUAAUAUCUCCGGAUCAAAUGGUGAGAUUCCGCCAGGGGAUGGGUCCGCUUCCUAUUAGCUUGUUGGUGGGGUAACGGCCUACCAAGGCAACAAUGGGUACCGGGUGUGAGAGCAUGGCCCGGCUCACUGGGACUGAGACACUGCCCAGACACCUACGGGUGGCUGCAGUCGAGAAUCUUCCGCAAUGGGCGAAAGCCUGACGGAGCGACGCCGCGUGCGGGAUGAAGGCCUUCGGGUUGUAAACCGCUGUCAGUUGGGAGGAAAUCUAUGGGGGUUAUCCCCCAUAGUUGACCUAUCUUCAGAGGAAGGACGGGCUAAGUUCGUGCCAGCAGCCGCGGUAAGACGAACCGUCCAAACGUUAUUCGGAAUCACUGGGCUUAAAGGGUGCGUAGGCGGCUUGGCAAGUUGGGUGUGAAAUCCCUCGGCUCAACCGAGGAACUGCGCUCAAAACUGCCAAGCUAGAGGAAGAUAGAGGUGAGCGGAACUAAUGGUGGAGCGGUGAAAUGCGUUGAUAUCAUUAGGAACACCUGUGGGCGAAAGCGGCUCACUGGGUCUUUUCUGACGCUGAGGCACGAAAGCUAGGGUAGCGAACGGGGAUU